AGCGGCCUGGAUCCCGGCGGCACGCGGCACGCCGGGAGUCGGAGUCCUGCGUCUCUGGACGGUGUCCGGGCUGAGGUCCGGGCGGGGACCGCGCAGGCGGCGGGGCGGGCGCGACCCGGGGCGCUGUGGGGCGAGGGCGUGAACUCCAAAUGGCCCAGCUCCUCCUGGCACUGAAACUGAAGAAAGUGGUAACAUGAACCGUCCCCUCUGAUCUUUGCUUUGGCAACUGAGAAGCUCAGAGCCUAAUUUUCAGCUUUCAGCUCUUGUAUAUGGUAUGCGUGUCUGUAUCUUAUCUCUGGCCUUUUUUGUCUUUUUUUCUCCUAAUUUCUUCAUCUACAUCUUGUUUUCCAAUUACAUGUUUUUGUAAGUUACAACUUAUUCUAUGUGCUUCUGUAAACUGUGUCAUCUUUUUUUUUUUUUAACAAAACUGAGUAUAAAUCCUUUUAAAAGUAACAUUUUUCCCUUUAUCAUAUUAUUGUUGUUUUAUAAAGUAUUAGCAGCAGCAGCAGCAGAUGGGUCUGGUUUUGGUUUGGGGGGGACAGUUUAUCCACACCAUGCAGCAUGUGGGAUCUUAGUUCCCUGACCAGGGAUCAAACCUGGGCCCCCUGCAGUGGAAGUGUGAUGUCUUGAUCGCUGGACUGCCAAGGAAAGCCCUAGUGUCCCUUUUGAUUUACAACCUUGGUGAAUCACUGUCAUUUCUGCUGUCGUCUUCAUCAGGUUACCUUCAAUAAAUAAAACCUUAACCAUUCCGGUAUCUGGAAGCAUCAAAAUACUAUUUGGUUUUAUCAUAUACUAUAUAUAGUGCAGUUACAGGGCAGUUUUGUUAUUUACUACCCACCCACAGCCUCUGCCCUAUUUUUCCAUUUUAUUUCUGUCUCAUGUACAUGAACUUCUCAUUAUUAGUAUCUUUACUUAAUCAUCACGGGCUUUUUGUGCCUGCUUUUGGAACUUUUAUAAGUUACUUUUCACACAAUUUUUUGUUAUGUGUGUGUUUUCAUCAGUGUUGUUCUGCUAAUUUUAGACAGAGGAAAACUUAAAAUAAUGAUGUUUCUAAACCUCAAGGGCCUUCUCCUGGUCAUUAGGGCCUGAAAUUAAUUCAAGCUGAGGAGGACCCACAGGUGGGCUGUGGUGUUGUGGUCAGACCUCAGGUUAGUGUGUUAUAAAGGGGGAUUUCACUGAGACUCAAAGGAAAAAAAGCAGCAUCCUGCUUCAUUGGAAGGGAACCAGAUAAAGAUCAAAAUGUAUUUUGCAUAGAAUACUGAUAUUUCUAAUUUGGGGGAGUUUAGACUUUCCAUAUUUGUUACUAUAUAGAUACUGUCGUUUGAAUUUUCAGAAGGCUGCCCAGUGUUUUUACUCAAUGGGGAACAAAGCUUUGUAUUUCUGUAGUUCUGAAGUGCAGUCUGGUCACCCGGGAGAAGUUAAGUCCAGAUACAAUGUAGGUGCUGGUGAUCAAGCCGUAACGGCUCUCUGGGCUGGCCUCAUUGGCUUUCCUGCCUCUCUCGCUUCCCAGAGCAUAAGCUUAAAUCAUCUCAGAAGGACAAGGUCCGCCAGUUCAUGGCAUUUACUCAGGCUGGCAAGAGAAGUGCCGCCCACUGCUUAGAGCAGAGCAAGUAGACGGCAGACCUGGCCACGGACAGCUGCUUCCCGCACCCGAGCGUGUUCACAGGGAAUCCAUGAGCGCCUCCGUGGACAGGAAGAGACUGGAGCGGCUGUGUAACAGGUCCCAAGGUGAGGGCACCGAGGCGCCGCACGUCCAGGGCGCGGGGUGGAGGCUGGGAGCUUCCCAUGCCGUGUCCCAAGGCUUCCGACCCUGCGCCAUGUUAGGAGCACAGCCCCCUCCCUUGCUGAUGGUCAGCUCUACAGUUUAGUUGGUUUAAUCGGAACGUGGCUGCUGAUGGCUCGAGGCUGGGGUGGGACAAGGCACACAGUCUAAAGGCUGAUGGGCAGCGAGCCCUCCUAUCCGCGGCCUGGGUCAGCUGUGGGGAGUCACUGGUGGGAGGCUUGGUGUCCAGGCCAGGGGGCUAUGCCCGCUGCAGGAGUACUUUUCCCGAGCACUCCCACUGGGCAGGAGUACCUGGUGAGAAGGCUGCUUGAGAACCAUUCCACAUCGUCCGAGGAGUUCUGACAGGAGGUUCAGGUCACCCUGCCUGCCACAGUUGGUGGUGCCAGAGUCCUGCACCAGUGCCAGUGGCAGAAGCUUCUGGAAAGCUCUUGGCAGAGAAACCUUGUGUUGUCAGUUGGAGACAGCAGUUAUUUUUAUUGAAAUCGGUGCUUAGAAUGGCGCUUUCCCUCUCAAAAUACAGUCAUGAGGCAAAGCAAGUCUGCAGAUCCAGAGAGCUCCACGGGCUCCGAGUUCCGCAUCAGGUGUCAGGUCUGCUGAGUGGGAAGGCGGCAGUGGCUCAAGAGUUAUUUUUUCUUUCUAGCAGCUUCUAAGGUUACUCUUAUGUUUCCAAAACUUAAAAAAAUAGAACGCAGAAAGUGAAAACCCUCAUUUAAACAAGUAUUAACAUAGACUUCCUAGACUUUGAGUUCUUGUUUUCAUUUUUUACUUUUGAAAAUAUAGUGUGUAUAUUUUAAUCUAUUUAGAUAAAAAAAAAAUCAACUGAAAAUUGCAUUCUUUUUUUUUUUUAAUCUUAGUUCAGAAACUUCUGUGGUCAAAAGAACAGACCUGUAUUUGUAGUUCUCCAAAAGGAGCGUUGUUUUCAGCAUGCUUUAGAUUUUUUGGCUAAGUUAAUUACUGAGCUAGUUUUAAGUUAUUCAGAUGUGUGCAGCUGCUUUUGCAAAAGUUAUCUUUAUUCUUUAGUUCAAGAUUUGGGCCCUAAAAAUAAAUAUAUAGUUAGAGACUGUUGACAAACAUCUGUCCUUACAGAAUGUAUACAGAUGAGUGCCUCCAAGCUAUUUUAAUGCAUCCAGAAAUGACAUAUGUGAAGUUUGUCAUGAAGGCUGUUAGGUGAGGGCACGGUAGGCCCAUUUUCCUGUCCUCCUGACCGUGUGCCGUGUUAGGAGCACGGGCUUGAGUCGGGAUGUGGCGAGCCCCUCUGUGCCAUGAGUCCACUCUCACAACCUGGGAGUGUAGAGUUGGAGGGUCUUGGUGACUGCUCGAGUGAUGGGGGCCAGUGGUCUCCUUGGGUAAUGACGUACGUUAGAUGUGGUGCUGAGCACUGAGGAGUCCAACCCUGUGUGAUGAAGAGUCUGCUGCACUUGACCGUGCUCCAAGUGAAGUGCCACGGCCUGCUCUGGUGCCUCCCACAGCAGCAGGCGGCAUGUCACUACCAGGCGGGCCCAGAGACCACCGCCAGGCGGGCCCAGAGACCACCGCCAGGCGGGCCCAGAGACCACCGCCAGGCGGGCGAGCUCGUGGGGCCUCACUGUGGGCCCUUACUGAUGCUUUAGUAGGCUUCACUGUUUGAUUUUCCCAUGGAAAAAUGCUAACUUCCUUAGUUUUAUUUCUAAACUAGAAAUUAGGGGAGGGGUAAGCCAGAAUUUCUCAGCUGUUAAACGUGGGUGUAUAAACUAAAUGACCAAAAAAUAAGUGUUGUGCAGUGGUAUUAGCACUAUAAAAAAUAAAAUGACUUGAAAAAUACAUUAUCUUUCUUUUGCCUUGGCAAGGUGAUGGUAAAAGCUUGAACUCCUGUGAAUACUUCACCAUGCAGUGUUUUUCAUAGCAGUUUGCUUUGGGCAAGCUAAAAUUCUGUAAACUUGAAUUUUUAUUUUACUCUAGGGAAAUCAAAAUUUUUAUUCAUAAUGACAUUUUCAGAGAAGUUUCAGUGAUUUUUUUUUUCCCCCUGAAAACCCAGAAACCUCGAUUUUAAAAAUAGGAGUAUUUUCUGGAUAAAUUAUUAUGUUACUAUUUCUCUCAUAUAUACUUGAAAAUUGCAGUGCAUUGAUUGAUGUAUUAAAAAUACAUUCUUUACACCCAUUUUAGUAAUACUUUUCAAAAUAUCCAAGUUUUUAACUUAUUUUUCCCUUAAUUUUAACUGUAGACCCACAAGAUGAAAAUAAAAUUGGAAUUGAUGGAAUUCAACAGUUUUGUGAUGAUUUAAGCCUACAUCCUGCCAGUAUCUCAGUUUUGCUUAUAGCUUGGAAAUUCAGGGCUGCAACUCAAUGUGAAUUUAGCAAAAAGGAAUUUGUAGACGGCAUGACAGAACUUGGAUUUGGAAAUGGCCGUGGCAUACUGGAAUCUGGUGUUAUCUGGAAGGUUUAAGUUUCUAGAUCUUUGGAACACCUUCUUGUUGUAAGUCUGCUUUCUGCAUCUGCAUGUUGGCAUCAUGUAGCUCUUAACACAGACCCAAAGCACUGUUGCUGUGUUAACUUCUGACAGUGUUGACCUGUCCUCACUCCUGGUCAGAGUAUGUCCUGAGAUCACCAGGCUGAGAGCUCCGUCUGAGCCAGCGGUCUGCUGGUCUUUCCUUUUGUGUUUUAGGAGCAUCACAAAAGCUCAAUCCCAAGGGACACUUGGAACCUUCUUCUAGAUUUUGGAAACAUGAUCACAGAUGACAUGUCCAACUAUGAUGAAGAAGGAGCAUGGCCUGUUCUUACAGAUGAUUUUGUAGAAUACGCAAGGCCAGUGGUCACAGGUGGUAAAGGCAGUCGUGUCUCGGCAGAAAAUUGAGCUGGAUUUAGAUGAACCGGAACCACGUCCUGCAGAAGACGCUGGUUAGCUGUGCCUGCCACCCGUUUCUUCCUGACCCGUCAUGCGCCUGGAGACCCUCUCCUGCUGCUUACAGAAGACGCCGCUGGCUAUUGGCGCGGCACGGAGACCCUCCGCGAUGGCGGCUGGGCGCCUGGAGACCCUCUUCUGCUGCUUAAAGACGCCGCUGGCUAUUGGCGCGGCACGGAGACCCUGCGCGAUCGCGGCUGGGCGCCUGGAGACCCUCUCCUGCUGCUUAGAGAAGACGCCGCUGGCUAUUGGCGCGGCACGGACACCCCGCGCAAUCGCGGCUGGGCGCCUGGAGACCCUCUCCUGCUGCUUAGAGAAGACGCCGCUGGCUAUUGGCGCGGCACGGAGACCCUGCGCGAUCGCGGCUGGGCGCCUGGAGACCCUCUCCUGCUGCUUAGAGAAGACGCCGCUGGCUAUUGGCGCGGCACGGACACCCUGCGCAAUCGCGGCUGGGCGCCUGGAGACCGGGCCCCAGCUGCCGCAGUCGGAGCCCUCCGCGAUCGCGGCGUUGUGGAGGGGGCGGAGCCUGUCUGCAGUCUCUGCCCGCCCUGAGCUCUCACAGCCCGGUAACCACCUAAGAACCUGCCAGUCAGGCGGCUGGAAACGUGUCCUGAGAAGGCGGCCGUUGUGGACGCUGAGGUUUUUAGAUUUGGUGCCAGGAUUAAGAUGUAAGUUUUUUUAAUUAUCCAGAUUCAUCAGUUCUGUUUUCACCUCACUUUUCUCUGGACGUUCAUGGGAAUGAUUUUACAGGUCGAUGGGCUGUUGAGGUUUGCACGGCGACUUGAAACUGUGCAAGUCAGCGGGUCUGUUUACUGCUAAUAGUGUCAGUUCAACUUCCUAAGAAGCUUCAUAAAGUAUGCUUUAAAAAAA